rnacentral:lncRNA from 1 species
UGCUGAAGGGGUCAUUUUCACAGAAAUCGUUUCCUGAAGAUUCUGCUAAAGGCAGAGAUGAAGAAGCAUGAUCCUCAUCUAAGAAGUUAAUCCUCUCAGCAGAAAGCUCAGUGACUUGGCAAGGAGGACAGGUGCCCAGAUGGCUUUGUACUACCCGGCUCUCCCUACUCCUGCUGGUAGUUCUUGGAAUAACUGUAGAAUAUACAGAGACCGCAACAUCCUAAGACCUUUGUUCUUGGAAGAGAUACUGUUUUGACAGCAGAUUUUGGCUUGAGCACAGGCUGUAUGUACCAGCAAGAUUCAGACCUGCACAGCAUGAUGGAAUGCUAGAGCCCAUCCACUUGAAGUCUAGUUGUAGAGAGGCUAAGACUUAGCAAAAAGCACAGACUUAGGCAGACACGUGUAACCUGGAUGCUAGUAUCUUUCAAUUUUGGUGUCUGUGACUCUCCCCUGGAGAGAGGGGAAAUGUUGAGAGGAAUCCCUCUUCCUGGGUUUGUUUUCCUACAGUGCAAUCC